AUUGAACGCUGGCGGCAGGCCUAACACAUGCAAGUCGAGCGGAGCGGCGGACGGGUGAGUAAUGCCUGGGAACCUGCCUGGUAGUGGGGGAUAACGUCCGGAAACGGGCGAUAAUACCGCAUACUAUCAGAUGAGCCUAGGUCGGAUUAGCUAGUUGGUGGGGUAAAGGCCUACCAAGGCGACGAUCCGUAACUGGUCUGAGAGGAUGAUCAGUUACACGGUAACUGAGACACGGGCCGGACUCCUACGGGAGGCAGCAGUGGGGAAUGUUGGACAAUGGGGGCUACCCUGAUCCAGCCAUGCCGCGGGCAGGAUGAAGUUCUUCGGAUUUUAAACUGCUUUUGUCAGGGAAGCGGUACCUGAAGAAUAAGCACCGGCUAACUACGUGCCAGCCGCCGCGGUAAUAC
rnacentral:rRNA from 1 species